GCCUGGCGCUAAUAGAUGAGCCUAUGUCGGAUUAGCUAGUUGGUGGGGUAAAGGCCUAGCCAAGGGCGACGAUCCGUAGCUGGUCUGAGAUGGAUGAUUCAGCCACACUGGGACUGAGACACGGCCCAAACUCCUUACGGGAGGCAGCAGUGGGGGAAUAUUGGACAAUGGGCGCAAGCCUGAUCCACCAAUACCGCGUGUGUCGAAGAAGGCCUGAGGGUUGUAAAGCUACUUUCAAUGGGAAGGAACACCUAUCGGUUAAUACCCCGGUAGACUGACAUUUACCCAUACAAAAAGCACCGGCUAACUCCGUGCCAGCACCCGCGGUAAUACGGAGGGUGCAAGGCGUUAAUCGGAAUUACUGGGACGUAAAGCGUGCGUAGGCGGUGUUUUUAAGUCAGAAUGUGAAAAGCCCUGGGCUUAACCUGGGAACUGCAUUUGAUACUGGGGAACUAGAGUUGAGUAGAGGAGAGUGGAAUUUCAGGUGUAGCGGUGAAAUGCGUAGAUAUCUGAAGGAACACCAGUGGCGAAGGCGGCUCUCUGGACUCAAACUGACGCUGAGGUACGAAAGCGUGGGUAGCAAACAGGAUUAGAUACCCUGGUAGUCCACGCCGUAAACGAUGUCAACUAACCGUUGGGUUCUUAAAGAACUUAGUGGUGGAGCUAACGUAUUAAGUUGACCGCCUGGGGGAGAACCGGCCGCGAGGCUAAAACUCAAAUGAAUUGAGGGGGGGCCUCCCACAAGCCGGUGGGAGCAUGUGUUUUAUUUUUAUGCAACGCGCAAGAACCUUACCCUCCCCUUGACAUCGUCGGAACUAUGUCAGAGAUGAUUUUGGUGCCUUCCGGAACCCGAGGAAACAAGGGGCUGCCUGGCGUGUCUUCAGCCUCGUGGUCGUGAGAUAGUUGGGUUAAAUCCCCUAACGACGCGCACCCCUUUAUCCUUUAUUUUGUCUGCGCGGUAUGGCCGCGGACUUCUUACGGAAGAACUGCUCGGGGAUA
rnacentral:rRNA from 1 species